GUAAAAAUGCCUCAACCGUGAAUAAGAAUGAGACCAGUGUGGUGUGGACCAUCCAGGCAGGCUUGCUGGAUAAGCAAGUGUAGCACCCAGUGCCUGUCUUCCUGGGCAGAGACCACCGCCCCCCGCCAUGUCUCCAUGUUCCUGGACAUGUACAGAACUUUUCCACUACUGAAAAGGUGCUGGAUCUGUUGAUUCCAAGGUAUGGAUGCAUCCUUCCUGAAAUGGGAUGAAGAUGGCAGACCCCUGGAGCAGCAGAAAAUGGCCAUCUUCUCCAUUCUGGGCAUGUGGAUGGACCAGUCCCCUGAGGAUUUUUUCCAACCUGCUGAAUUUCCCUGCCUGAAGAUGCUGCUGGCAUAUGUGGGGCUUAACAUGCUGGGCUCACACCUGGAGCACCAUACGUCUGUUUUCCUCUCAUAGCUAGGACACAUGGAGCCCAAUGAGCCAGAGGUUGAGACUAUAGCACCCGUUCCGGAGCAGGAUCCAGAACCAACUCAAGAGCUAGUGCUAGGCACCCCAGUGCCUACUGUGGUG